CUCAGUUGCUUUCUGAAUUGUUGCUUGUGGCCUUUCUCGCCUCUGGCCUGUCAUGAGAGCCCUUUCUCCUCCCAUUGUGAGACUGUUUUCACUUUGUUCCCUCUGCUCUCACCUCGUUCUCCGCCCUUCGUCCGUCCCUAUCUCUCUCCCGCGCCGGUGAAAGAAACGCCUCCCGGGCCUUGGAAUCGCACGCGCGCGCGCGCUCCUCCGGUGUCGUCGCCGUGUGAGAGCGAGGUCUCUGAGGUUGUUUGCGCUCGCGCCAGACACAGCAGCUCCGCUGUUUGUUUGCAGUUUCCACUGACUCCGACCCCCCCACCCCCUCCCUCCUCAAACCCAUGGGAAUUUGUGGAUCAGCAUCUUCUCAAAAAGCUCUUGGGCGUUAAGAGCGUGUAACUGAGGCACAGACGGAGUGCAAUGAGUGCAGUCAUUAUUUUUAUGUGGUGCCUCUGAUGUCUUCUGUGUGACUUAGUUUAUAGUGAGGGGUGACAGGGGACGGGGGCACUGGUUCAGGAAGCUGUUGGCACCCAACACCCGGAUCUGAUGUGGGUUCUUUCGUCUGUGCAAAUCUUUCUAGGUUUUAUUUUGAAUGGAUGCGCGUUUAUAUUCGUGUUUGUUUUCAUUUGUAUUAAUCCUAAGCAUAGAGUAUAUCACAACAAGGCAGACUGAUUCAUUUAUUAAAGUGUGAUAACAUACAUUAAAUAGGCCUCCUUACUUGCGUGCCACGCAUUUAAUCAACCUAAAUACUAAAAAUAAGACUCAUAUACGGUAGGAAAGCGCCGUGAGCUGUAGUUAUAUUUAAUUACUGUUAUGUAUAGUUGCGGCUUUUGUGUUCUAUAUCAGUUCAGGUCCCAUGAUGAUAUCCACACAUUGUUUAUGGGUAUUGUUUGCAAUCAGCAUAUGAAAGCCCAGUAAAUAAUUGUGUUAUUGGGUUGUUUUGGCCCGGUUUGUGCCGGUGUCCCGACGGUGGGAUGCGAGCGCGCCUCGUGUCUGCUGCUUCAGGGCAGUCAGUGAUGUCACACACUCACGGCCCCACAGCCUCGGCGCCGCUUCCUCCAGAUAUGCACAGGAGCGUGAGUUUCACUGAAUGGGGAAGAUAAAGAAAGGAACGACGCGAUGAAGAAAAAGAGCAACACAACACAGGCAAGGGCAAACAUUCAACGUUUAAGUCCUUUCACUUCAAAUAUUUAUAGCAUAAUUAACAUGAAUGCAGCAGCCACUAGUGCUGCAAUACACCGCAGCCUUCUCAUGAAGCUGUUAAUGCACAUAGAUUGGAAAUUAGUCGCAUGCAUUUCAGAACAACGUAUGCAUGAAAGGAAUAGUAUUGCUACAGCCUCUAAUGUAAACUCUGAGCCCUGUGUCUGUUGGAAUAAUCAUAACAAUUUAGACAUGAGGAAACAAAGGCACCAUUGGGGAUAUUAAUUCAUACACUGUGUAAACCUCUGUGUACGUACGGCAGUUUAACGUGUAUCGAUUGUAUGAAAAACCGAGGCCAUAUAAUGAAUAAAAGCACUUUCUACCAGCA